CACCAGCCGAAGGUGGGGCUACAGUAAGGGGUAGGAAAGGGGAAGAAGAUAUGAUCCAGUUGUCUCCUAUGAAAAGACCAAUUCUGCCAGCAAAACGUAGGAUUACCAGACAAUGAACUAGCACUUUACAAAGUGUAAAGGCAUUUUGGAGACACAGGCUGGGAAGAGUCUGGACAAGGCAAGGAGAGACUUGAGCCCAGGAGUGGAUCAAGAGGAAGAUGUGGAUGGUGCUUCUGCAAGGCACGGGUAGGCAGCACCCCAGGAUCAGCGAUGGUGGGCAGAGCAGGACCUUUUCCUCUCCUCCUUAUCUGGGUUGACCACCUACAGAGCUGGGGCAGAAGAUAGGGCAGGAUGUGGCUUCGGUGUCCAGGGCAGGAGAGGAGGGAGCAGCCCGGGUGGGCAAGGCUGUGAAGGAGGCUGCUGCGCUGCCCCACGGGGCCAUGGUUAGGUCCAGCAGAAAGGGCGGAAGGGGUGCACUGGGCAUGGCCUCUACUCAUAUGCCAGCUCUGAGCCUCUGGAAAUCCACAUUUGGUUCCUGUAUCCUAACAGCACUUCUCACAUGUCAUUUAUUUACAGCCUAUGUUAUUCACUAGAAGGUGAGCUCAAUUCUAGAAGAUGUUUCUUCAGUGUGCCCAGCUCCUGGAAAAGUGGACUCAAGAGAGGUUCUGGUGACAAAAAACCUCCACAAGAAACUACAGUUUCAAUCCACAGUGGGUUGCGCCUGCAAAGAAAUUUUUACAACACCAACCAUUCCUAAGGACCAUCUAUUCCUUCCUUAAUUAAAAGUAUAUAGUUAAAAAUACUUAGAGAAACAGCUUAGAAUAGUCUUUAGAGUCAGACAGACUGAAAAUGUCUGUAUUCAUGUGAACCUGGAAGUGUCAUUGGCCCUCUCUGAGCCUUGGAUGCAUCUGUAGGAUGAGGAAUGUAGUACCUACCUCGCUGGGUUAUUUUGAGAAAGAAAUAAAAAUAUCCUUGCACACAGUAAGUACUCAAAUGGAAUGAAAUAAAAGAUAGUAAGGGCUCCUGUUUCAAAUCCUGUCUGUAACAUAGCAUUUGAUCCUUCCUACUGUAAAAUAAUUGGCAUUUAUCAUCAACAUCCCACAGUGAUGUGUCUCAUGCUGUCUCACUGUUGUGAAACCACAAAAAUCAGCUGAAAAGUCUAAGAAGAGUAGGUCCUGAUCAUUGUUUCAUUAACGUAUGAGCUUUGGGAAGGGCAGACAACCCACAAAUUUACAAAUAGUAUAUGGAUUUUCACAAAACAAGCAGAUUUGUUCAGAUUUAGAUUUCAACCAAUUUCAUGAAAGCAGACACAGGAGAUGCAAACUGCUUUUGUGGAUUCCGUUCUAGGGGCGGAAGCAGCUCUCAAGGUGUGUUUAAGUGUGCAUGCUUUGGCGUCCCUGUUCUUUUGCAGAUAUUAGGGGGAGGGAGGGUAUGGUCUUUGGUCCUUCUGGUCACUUGGUUUCUGGGACUCUGAGCUCAGUUUCUCCUCGGGAACAGACUUCCUGCCCACUUGUCUCCUUCCUAGGCUUCUCUUCUGCCCUGGAAGUGAUGCCUGCAGGGCUCCUUCCUUCCUGGUCCAGAGUUCCUCUCUCAUCUCCUCUAAGGACAGAUCUUUUUCCUGGUCCGUAUCAUCCCUGUCUCUCAGACCCUGAGUCCAAAACUGAGCUCAUCUUCCUCACGGAGUGUGCACUUAACACUCUCACCUUCACCAGCCAGCCAGGCCACCACACCCCUGGCUCUCACUUGCCUUUUGUGUCUCACACAAGCUCCUUGAGGCCUGGGACUUGGUUUUGCUCACUCCUGCAGCACUAGUGCUAAAACAGUGCCUACUGUACUGCAGGUGUUAGGAAAUAUUUGUGGGAUGCCUGGGCAGGGGCUGUGAGUGUGCUGAAAUGUUCAUUAGCCAAGUACCCACAUCCGUUUCUACGUUUCAGCCUCAUGUUGCCAAUUACACUUUUGUAUUCUUCCCUCUCUUUGAGCAAUCACUCAUCCCCAGCAAUACUGCUAAUAAAAUAAGACAAUUACUUUUCACAUUGAAGUCUUCAGAAGUAGUAAGGAGCAGACGCUGAACCCAGUUUUUCAUACUUUUAAAUAAUUUCCCAUGAUUCAAUCAGCAGAAAAAGGGAACAAAGUCAGAAUUGGAUAUAGAAUUCAGAUUCUUUUUCUUUCAAGGACGCAUUUUAUACAAUUUUCAACAUUUAUACUUUCAAACAAAAUGAGCAAAAAAUACACUAAGUGCUAAAAAAAUCAAAACAGAAGUAAUACAAUUUUAAUUUCAAUAUUUUAAAAUACAGAAAUUGGAAAGAAUACUAAAUACAACUUUAAACAAGUCACUUGUCCUCCCCUAUAAUAAUCAAUGUAAGCUACUUAAAGACUUACAAAUUUAAAGUAAAA
rnacentral:lncRNA from 1 species